GCAAUGAAGCUGGCGAAGGGCCUAGAGAACAGCCAAGAAGGGCGCAAGGGAGAUGUGCAGCUUCUUGACUCAUCCUCUAGCCCCCACUUUGGACAUGCACCCCACCGCGGCCAGCAUGGCUCUGUGCACCCUUGCAGGAAUUUGCUUUAGGUUUUAAAUUCCCUUUAUAGAGAGAAACUGCAGUCCUGUUCCUGACGCUUUUGAGUACCCAAACACCUCUCUCCUUGCAUUUUGGUCAUUGGUUGUGCUCCUCAGAGGCCAUUUCAUCAUGUUGCAAGGGGCAGCGCGGGAGUCUGUGGUACAGAUGUCUGCCUAACAGCUGGUUGCCAUGUCCUACAAACACUUUUCCUGCUGAAAGCAUGUUGGAAGGCAUUUUAAGGGCAGUGCCGGUUAAGAAGAGUCAGCCCAACAGGCAGCUUGGAAAGAUGACUGGAGUCCUGAAUGCAGAAUAAUUCCCAAAGGAUCCUUUUCUGUUUCA